CUGAUGCAGCGACGCCGCGUGAGGGAUGACGGCCUUCGGGUUGUAAACCUCUUUCGACAGGGACGAAGCGCAAGUGACGGUACCUGUAGAAGAAGCACCGGCCAACUACGUGCCAGCAGCCGCGGUAAUACGUAGGGUGCGAGCGUUGUCCGGAAUUACUGGGCGUAAAGAGCUUGUAGGCGGCUUGUCGCGUCGAUCGUGAAAACUUGGGGCUCAACCCCAAGCUUGCGGUCGAUACGGGCAGGCUUGAGUACUUCAGGGGAGACUGGAAUUCCUGGUGUAGCGGUGAAAUGCGCAGAUAUCAGGAGGAACACCGGUGGCGAAGGCGGGUCUCUGGGAAGUAACUGACGCUGAGAAGCGAAAGCGUGGGUAGCGAACAGGAUUAGAUACCCUGGUAGUCCACGCCGUAAACGGUGGGUACUAGGUGUGGGUUUCCUUCCACGGGAUCCGUGCCGUAGCUAACGCAUUAAGUACCCCGCCUGG
rnacentral:rRNA from 1 species